rnacentral:ncRNA from 1 species
GUGGCUCCGGUUCACGGCCAGCACCCCGCUGAGGCCGACCCGGAGCC